UAUGAACGCUGGCGGCGUGCCUAAUACAUGCAAGUCGAGCGAACAGACGAGGAGCUUGCUCCUCUGACGUUAGCGGCGGACGGGUGAGUAACACGUGGAUAACCUACCUAUAAGACUGGGAUAACUUAGGGAAACCGGAGCUAAUACCGGAUAAUAUAUUGCACCGCAUGGUUCCAUCGUGAGAGACGGUUUUGCUGGCAGUUAUAGAUGGAUCCGCGCCGCAUUAGCUAGUUGGUAAGGUAACGGCUUACCAAGGCAACGAUGCGUAGCCGACCCGAGAGGGUGAUCGGCCACAUGGGAUCUGAGGCAGGUCCGACACGCCGACGGGAGGCAGCGGUAGGGAAUCUUCCGCAAGGGGCGAAAGCCUGACGGAGCAAAGCCGCGUGAGUGAUGAAGGUCUUAUGAUCGUAAAACUAUGUUAUUCGUGAAGAACAAAUGUGUAAGUACCUGUGCACGUCUUGACGGUACCUAAUCAGAAAGCCACGGCUAACUACGUG
rnacentral:rRNA from 1 species